rnacentral:lncRNA from 1 species
GAAUCAUUGCAAUUUGAAGGUGAAGCAAGUCCACCAAAAGAAUGUAUUUGUUGGCAACAAACCAAAUAACAGACAAAUUAUUUGGCAUGGUCGACAUAUUUUUCGUAGGCUGAGCAGAGAUCACAAACCAAACAGACCCAUAUAUAUUUUCAUCACCAUCAUAUACCUAUACACAAACUAGAAACGCUGAUACACUUCACAGUUCUUGUCACCCACACACAGCUCUACAUUCAUUCAGGGAUCCAUGGCCGCCGCUGACCUUCAUCACUUGCGCCGCGACCCGACCCUGGACAGCGCGGUCAUCCGCUUGAGCACCCUGGAGAUCUUGGACAGGCUCGGCUUGCCGCCUCCGAGGUUCAUCUUCCUGGUGGAGAACUUGAGCGCCUGCAGGCAGCACAGNAC